CAGUAGGGAGGAAGGUAGUGUAGUUAACACCUGCAUUAUUUGACGUUACCUACAGAAGAAGCACCGGCUAACUCCGUGCCAGCAGCCGCGGUAAUACGGAGGGUGCGAGCGUUAAUCGGAAUUACUGGGCGUAAAGACGCAUGCAGGCGGCCUGUUAAGUCAGAUGUGAAAGACCCGGGCGUUAACCUCGGAAUUGCAUUUGAAACUAGGCAGGCUAGAGUCUUGUAGAGGGGGUAGGAAGUUUCAGGUGUAGCGGUGAAAUAGCGUAGAGAUCUGAAGGAAUACCAGUGGCGAAGGCGGCCCCCUCGGACAAAGACUGACGCUCAGAUGCGAAAGCGUGGGGAGCAAACAGGAUUAGAUACCCUGGUAG
rnacentral:rRNA from 1 species